rnacentral:rRNA from 1 species
UACGAACUGUGCGAACGUUAUUCGGAAUCACUGGGCUUACAGGGUGCGUAGGCGGCCGAACAAGUCAGGUGUGAAAGCCCUCGGCUCAACCGAGGAACUGCGCUUGAAACUGUUUGGCUCGAGUCAACUAGAGGUGCACGGAACUUCCAGUGGAGCGGUGAAAUGUGUUGAUAUUGGAGGGAACACCGGAGGCGAAAGCGGUGCACUGGGGUUGGUCUGACGCUGAGGCACGAAAGCCAGGGGAGCGAACGGG